CUUUUUUAGAAGCGAGACUAAGGGGACGGUUCAAGGGGAAUUGGGAGCCCAGUGAGACGUUUUGGGAAAUAUUCCACUGGGACAACCACAGCCUCGUAAUGAUGAGUGAAUGCCUGCUAUUCACCGGGGAGAGCGACGGAGCCCUGCCGCGAAUGGAGAAAAUUUGCAAGUAACUUGCACCCUUCUAAAGGGGUUUGUAAUUGCCUAGAGAUGCCACAGGAUAACAGCAGAGGACAACUUUUGUCUAAAUAAAGCUCCAUAACUUACUCCAAGUUGUGUCCUUGGCACCAAGAUUGGGGCUUGAGCACAAAACCGGGCUUCGGGACCAGGUCGCAGUCGUUCAAGCAUUUUAUUGUUACCAUGCACACGGGGGCAACGGAAUGACAUACAUUGAUUUCCUGAUAACGUUGCGGUGGGACCCAAUUCUCGAUAAAGACGCUGAGACGUGGAAGAUGGGGGUGAGAUCAUUGAAAACUUUCCUCUUCACAGCGAGAGGUCGUCAGGAUGUUGCGCUCAGGAAGCAAGGAAUAAAACUUGGCCUCUUCUGGGACCACGUUGGAGUGGGUCCCGUUUAUCCAGGAGAACACGUGUGCAGUAGAAUAAGAAAUGCUGGGAAAACACCAAGAUUUGCCUUUCUAGUUCAUUCCUUGCAAGGAGGGGUAGAAAAUGUACAGGGCAGACACACAAUGCAGUACACAAGGACUUUUGAGCUGCUGGCACACUUACACAAAAAACAUUGCGCUGCCUCCGGCUUACAAGCAUACAAUUGUUUACGGUUACUCGAAUGAGCCAGCUGCUGCUUCAUCACAUCGAGCCAUUAUCAUAUUUUUCUUUCUCAUAAUCUUACAAAUUUACUGUGCAAAAAGAAAAUAUUUCUAGUAUUGUUGUCACUUUUUUCCUGUCAAAUUAUGACUGUUUUCUUGGAAUAAUAUGAACUAACUUUCCUAAUAUUAACACUUUUCCCCAAAAAAUUUAUUACCAUAAAUUACACAUUCUCUCAUUAAAAACCUUUUUUUUCUCAAUACAUAUUGGCUUUAUGAUUUCUUGAAGCCCUAUUUCUUGUAGACUUUAUUGUCCUAAAAGAAAAUAUCCCUCUGUUGCAACUUUAUUAUUGGAACAUUUGAACUUGCAAAACAUAACAGUCUAGACCAGCCUUUAUUCUCCCAAAAAUAUUUUUUUCCCCUAGUAAAAUGAUGACUUUUUUUCUUCAAAUUACCACUUUGUUCUUAUUGGAGAAUUACUUUUUUUCUCAUAACAGAAUUGUAUUCCUGUAUUGUGAAGACUUUAUUUUUGUAAAAAAAAAAAAUUCCCCCCUGUUUGAUAGCCAUAUUUUUCUGAUAAUAAUUCAAUUUUACUUUUUUGCAGUACACUGUCUUACAAUCGAAUCCUCAUAAUUUGAUGUAUUUCUGACAAGCGUUUUCUCUUAUUACUACUGUAUUCUUGUAAAAUCAUAACUUUGUAUCAUAAAUAUGAAUGCUUCCUAGUAAUACUGUGAUUACAUUUUUCUCAAAAUGUUACAAUUUUAUUUUUGUCAAAUCUUUUUUUCUCAUAACAUUAUAACUUUAUUCUUAUAAUUUCAUGACUGUAAUCUUUUGAAAUUGACCGUUG